UCGUCGCGAUCGCCUUACGGCUCAGUAACACGUGGACAACCUGCCCUUGAGAGGGGGAUAACCCCGGGAAACUGGGUAUAAUACCCGAUAGAUCUCGAUUGCUGGAAUGCAUCGAGCUCCAAAGCUCCGGCGCUCAAGGAUGGGUCUGCGGCCUAUCAGGUAGUAGUGGGUGUAGCGUACCUACUAGCCUACGACGGGUACGGGUUGUGAGAGCAAGAGCCCGGAGAUGGAUUCUGAGACACGAAUCCAGGCCCUACGGGGUGCAGCAGGCGCGAAAACUUUACAAUGCUGGAAACAGCGAUAAGGGGACCUCGAGUGCCAGGUUACAAAUCUGGCUGUCGUGAUGCCUAAAAAGCAUUGCAUAGCAAGGGCCGGGCAAGACCGGUGCCAGCCGCCGCGGUAACACCGGCGGCUCGAGUGGUAACCGUUAUUAUUGGGUCUAAAGGGUCUGUAGCCGGCCGGAUAAGUCUCUUGGGAAAUCUGGCAGCUUAACUGUCAGGCUUUCAGGAGAUACUGUCUGGCUCGAGGCCGGGAGAGGUGAGAGGUACUUCAGGGGUAGGGGUGAAAUCUUGGAAUCCUUGAAGGACCACCAGUGGCGAAGGCGUCUCACCAGAACGGACCUGACGGCAAGGGACGAAAGCUAGGGGCACGAAACCGGAUUAGAUACCCGGGUAGUCCUAGCCGUAAACGAUACUCGCUAAGGUGUCGGCAACGGUGCGACCGUUGUCCGGUGCCGUAAGGGAAACCCGUGAAGCGAGCCAACCUGGGAAGUACCGGCCGCAAAGGCUUGAAACUCAAAUGGAUUGGCCGUGUGUAGAUUUCUAUUGAUCUUAAUUUCUUUUUAUGUUGCCAGUAA
rnacentral:rRNA from 1 species